GAUGAACGCUGGCGGCGUGCCUAAUACAUGCAAGUCGAGCGAACAGACGAUGAGCUUGCUCCUCUGACGUUAGCGGCGGACGGGUGAGUAACACGUGGAUAACCUACCUAUAAGACUGGGAUAACUUCGGGAAACCGGAGCUAAUACGGGAGAAUAUAUUGAACCGCAUGGGUCAAUAGUGAAAGACGGUUUUGCUGUCACUUAUAGAUGGAUCCGCGCCGCAUUAGCUAGUUGGUAAGGUAACGGCUUACCAAGGGAACGAUGCGUAGCCGACCUGAGAGGGUGAUCGGCCACACUGGAACUGAGACACGGUCCAGACUCCUACGGGAGGCAGCAGUAGGGAAUCGUCCGCAAUGGGCGAAAGCCUGACGGAGCAACGCCGCGUGAGUGAUGAAGGUCUUCGGAUCGUAAAACUCUGUUAUUAGGGAAGAACAAAUGUGUAAGUAACUAUGCACGUCUUGACGGUACCUAAUCAGAAAGCCACGGCUAACUACGUG
rnacentral:rRNA from 1 species